CCAAUAGCGUAUAUUAAAGUUGUUGCAGUUAAAAAGCUCGUAGUUGAAUUUCGGGAUCAAUUAAUCGGUCGUGCCUCUGGUACGUACUGGUUUUAUUGGUUCCUCCCUUCUGACGAAACACGAUGUCAUUAAUUUGGUGUCGUGGAGAAUCAGGACUGUUACCUUGAAAAAAUUAGAGUGUUUAUAGCAGGCUAACGCUUGAAUACAUUAGCAUGGAAUAAUGAAAUAGGACGUUCGACCCUAUUUUGUUGGUUUCUAGGAUCGACGUAAUGAUUAAUAGGGAUAGUUGGGGGCAUUAGUAUUCAAUUGUCAGAGGUGAAAUUCUUGGAUUUAUUGAAGACUAACUACUGCGAAAGCAUUUGCCAAGGAUGUUUUCAUUAAUCAAGAACGAAAGUUAGGGGAUCGAAGACGAUCAGAUACCGUCGUAGUCUUAACCAUAAACUAUGCCGACUAGGGAUCGGAUGAUGUUAAUUUUUUAAUGACUCAUUCGGCGCCUUACG
rnacentral:rRNA from 1 species